rnacentral:rRNA from 1 species
UACAGAGGGUGCGAGCGUUAAUCGGAAUUACUGGGCGUAAAGCGUGCGUAGACGGCUAUCUAAGUCGGGUGUGAAAGCCCCGGGCUCAACCUGGGAAUUGCAUUCGAGACUGAAUAGCUAGGGUACGGUAGAGGGAAGUGGAAUUUCCGGUGUAGCGGUGAAAUGCGUAGAGAUCGGGAGGAACACCAGUGGCGAAGGCAGCCUUCUGGGCCAACACUGACGCUCAUGCACGAAAGCGUGGGGAGCAAACAGG